CAUACAACCCUGAAUGCGCCUUAUCUUAUCUGAUUUUGGAAGCUAAGCAGGGUUGGGCCUGGUUAGCACUUGGAUGGGAGAUCAGCGAAAUUCAAGUC
rnacentral:rRNA from 1 species